AAUUUGAAAGAUCUGCGCUUUAAGAAUCUAAUUGCAUCUAGAAGAAAGAGAUUCUAAUAUUUGUUUUGUUUUCUUGGGUUAUACAUGUUAUUGCACAAGGUCCACUGAAACUUCGUUAUAGUUGUAUGCUGAGUAGGACUACCUCCUAUGUACUAGCCUUCACUGACGGCUGGUGGUUUUUUAGCCAAUUUUGGAUGUUUAUCAUCAUCACAUCUGAAUUGCGAUACUGACAAAGCCAUUUAAGUUCAACUUUCUGA